rnacentral:rRNA from 1 species
AAAAACCUACGGGAGGCAGCAGUAGGGAAUCUUCCACAAUGGACGAAAGUCUGAUGGAGCAACGCCGCGUGAGUGAAGAAGGGCUUCGGCUCGUAAAUCUCUGUUGGUAGUGAAGAAAGAUAGAGGUAGUAACUGGCCUUUAUUUGACGGUAAUUACUUAGAAAGUGACGGCUAACUACGUGCCAGCAGCCGCGGUAAUACGUAGGUGGCAAGCGUUGUCCGGAUUUAUUGGGCGUAAAGCGAGUGCAGGCGGUUUCAUAAGUCUGU